rnacentral:misc_RNA from 1 species
GAUGAAGAACGUAGUGAAAUGCGAUACGUAAUGUGAAUUGCAGAAUUCAGUGAAUCAUCGAGUCUUUGAACGCACAUUGCGCCCCCUGGUAUUCCGGGGGGCAUGCCUGUCCGAGCGUCAUUGCUGCCCUCAAGCACGGCUUGUGUGUUGGGCCUCCGCCCCCCGGCUCCCGGGGGGCGGGCCCGAAAGGCAGCGGCGGCGCCGCGUCCGGUCCUCGAGCGUAUGGGGCUUCGUCACCCGCUCCGUAGGCCCGGCCGGCGCCCGCCGGCGACCCCCCUCAAUCUUUCCAGGUUGACCUCGGAUCAGGUAGGGAUACCCGCUGAACUUAAGCAUAUCAAUAAGCGGAGGA